CUACGCUUUGCCGAUGUAAACAGCUGCCUCCGCAUCCUGGACAAGAAGACUAUGUUGCAGCUGGCCGCGUGACGACCCAAUCCCAAGAGCGGACCAGCGCACGAAGACGAUGGCAGAUGAAACAACGCUGAGAGCUGAUGCAAAAGGCAAAGGGAGUGUAAACGGUGGUGAGGAGAGCUCCACAUGGGUUAAAGGAGAAAGAAUCGAAAGUGAGGUUCAAGUCAGCAGCUGGAGACUUGAUACCUCUACAGAAAUGGAGCCUGGGGAGACAAGCAGAGA